rnacentral:rRNA from 1 species
AGGACGACGCUGGCGGCGUGCCUAAUACAUGCAAGUCGAACGGUCUUUCUAUGGAAGCUUGCUUCCACUGAGAAGAUAGUGGCGAACGGGUGAGUAACACGUGGGGUAACCUGCCCAUAAGAGGGGGGAUAACGAUCCGGAAACGGGUGCUAAUACCGCAUAGUUUCUUGAUCGCAUGAUCGGGAAAGGAAAGACGGCCUUUGUGCUGUCGCUUAUGGAUGGACCCGCGGCGUAUUAGUUAGUUGGUGAGGUAACGGCUCACCAAGACGAUGAUACGUAGCCGACCUGAGAGGGUGAUCGGCCACAUUGGGACUGAGACACGGCCCAAACUCCUACGGGAGGCAGCAGUAGGGAAUCUUCCGCAAUGGACGAAAGUCUGACGGAGCAACGCCGCGUGAGUGAAGAAAAGGUUUUCGGAUCGUAAAACUCUGUUGUCAGAGAAGAACAAGUUGGAGAGUAACUGCUCCAGCCUUGACGGUAUCUGACCAGAAAGCCACGGCUAACUACGUGCCAGCCGCAGC